AUGGGCGACUUCGACUGUGGCGCCAUCGACUGUGGCGACUGUGGCGACAUCGACUGUGGCGACUGCUGCGAUGAGUGCUUCGACUGCUGCGAUGAGCCGUGCGUCUGCUGCGUCUGCUUCUCGGAUGCCAUCAGUGGCAAGGCACUCUUCUGCAUCCUCUGUGGUCUCGUGAUCUUCGCCGUCCUCGCCGCCCUGGUCACGCUGCUCGUCAUCGCCCUCGUCCCCCACCGCGUCCGCCUCAGCGUGGAGGAUGCGGCCCUCGCCCGCCUCGCCCUCGGCGACAAGAACGCCACGGCCACGGCGCUCGCCUACGACAUCUCCAUCGCCGUCGCCGUGCACAACGGCAACUGGUUCAUGCCCGCCGAGCACACCGCGCCGCUCUACGCGGAUCUGCUCUUCGACGGCGCCCGCUUAGCCCGCGUUGGGCUGGCGACCGCAGGGGCCGUGGUCCGACCGCGGCGCAGAGAAGUGUACCACGCCACGGCGGCGGCCGACAGCGCGAGCGUCGCGCUGGGGAGCACAGCGGUGGCGGAGUUCGCCAGGGAGAGCACGGCGGGGGUGUUCCAGCUGGAGCUCAGGGUUCUCGGGGAAGUCAGGUACUGGCCACACCACAAGAAGUACAGGCUGGACGCGAUCUGCCGGCUAGAGUUGGCUCUGUCAACGGCAACGUCGCCGGCGAUGUUCAGAAAGGUAAAGUGCGAUGUUCAGAAAGAUCAUGGUGGCCGAUGA
rnacentral:rRNA from 1 species